AUGGGAAACGGGUUAAUAUUCCCGUACUUGGUGUUACUGCGAAGGGGGGACGGAGAAGGCUAUGUUGGCCGGGCGACGGUUGUCCCGGUUUAAGCGUGUAGGUGUGUGUUCCAGGUAAAUCCGGUUCACUUUAACACUGAGGCGUGAUGACGAGGCACUACGGUGCUGAAGUAACAAAUGCCCUGCUUCCAGGAAAAGCCUCUAAGCAUCAGGUAACAUCAAAUCGUACCCCAAACCGACACAGGUGGUCAGGUAGAGAAUACCAAGGCGCUUGAGAGAACUCGGGUGAAGGAACUAGGCAAAAUGGUGCCGUAACUUCGGGAGAAGGCACGCUGACACGUAGGUGAAGUGAUUUACUCAUGGAGCUGAAGUCAGUCGAAGAUACCAGCUGGCUGCAACUGUUUAUUAAAAACACAGCACUGUGCAAACACGAAAGUGGACGUAUACGGUGUGACGCCUGCCCGGUGCCGGAAGGUUAAUUGAUGGGGUCAGCGCAAGCGAAGCUCCUGAUCGAAGCCCCGGUAAACGGCGGCCGUAACUAUAACGGUCCUAAGGUAGCGAAAUUCCUUGUCGGGUAAGUUCCGACCUGCACGAAUGGCGUAAUGAUGGCCAGGCUGUCUCCACCCGAGACUCAGUGAAAUUGAACUCGCUGUGAAGAUGCAGUGUACCCGCGGCAAGACGGAAAGACCCCGUGAACCUUUACUAUAGCUUGACACUGAACAUUGAGCCUUGAUGUGUAGGAUAGGUGGGAGGCUUUGAAGUGUGGACGCCAGUCUGCAUGGAGCCGACCUUGAAAUACCACCCUUUAAUGUUUGAUGUUCUAACGUGGACCCGUAAUCCGGGUUGCGGACAGUGUCUGGUGGGUAGUUUGACUGGGGCGGUCUCCUCCUAAAGAGUAACGGAGGAGCACGAAGGUUGGCUAAUCCUGGUCGGACAUCAGGAGGUUAGUGCAAUGGCAUAAGCCAGCUUGACUGCGAGCGUGACGGCGCGAGCAGGUGCGAAAGCAGGUCAUAGUGAUCCGGUGGUUCUGAAUGGAAGGGCCAUCGCUCAACGGAUAAAAGGUACUCCGGGGAUAACAGGCUGAUACCGCCCAAGAGUUCAUAUCGACGGCGGUGUUUGGCACCUCGAUGUCGGCUCAUCACAUCCUGGGGCUGAAGUAGGUCCCAAGGGUAUGGCUGUUCGCCAUUUAAAGUGGUACGCGAGCUGGGUUUAGAACGUCGUGAGACAGUUCGGUCCCUAUCUGCCGUGGGCGCUGGAGAACUGAGGGGGGCUGCUCCUAGUACGAGAGGACCGGAGUGGACGCAUCACUGGUGUUCGGGUUGUCAUGCCAAUGGCACUGCCCGGUAGCUAAAUGCGGAAGAGAUAAGUGCUGAAAGCAUCUAAGCACGAAACUUGCCCCGAGAUGAGUUCUCCCUGAGACUUAGAGUCUCCUGAAGGAACGUU
rnacentral:rRNA from 1 species